GUUUAUGUUUCAGUCUGCCAUUCCACUCAGACUCAGCCAAGCAAUAGGAUGUGUUCUGCAGUCAUUGAAUUUAACUGCUUUCAGGAGCUGAUUCAUUUGCGUUCUGUGAGCUGUUUCAGCUGAUUGUGUGGGGGAAGAAAAAGCCAUUUGGAGCUGUGCUGCUCGGAGCGGCCCGUGAAUGGAUUCUCUCCACCGCCAAGAGCCCUAACAGGCCCAGAGCCCGGCGAAGGAUUUACACAAGCUCAAGUUUGGAUCCAGAACACCUAAGAAGAUGAUGCCAACCCCUCAGAUGACCUCAGAUUAUGCUAAACCUGAAACAACAUACAGAACUACCAAAUAUUGCUACAAGUGUGAUUGUAUCAUAUAAUAAUUGCUGUUAAUAGUGUUCAUCGUCUGGUUGACUA